GCAGUGGGGAAUAUUGCACAAUGGGCGAAAGCCUGAUGCAGCAACGCCGCGUGAGGGAUGACGGCCUUCGGGUUGUAAACCUCUUUUAGUAGGGAAGAAGCGAAAGUGACGGUACCUGCAGAAAAAGCACCGGCUAACUACGUGCCAGCAGCCGCGGUAAUACGUAGGGUGCAAGCGUUGUCCGGAAUUAUUGGGCGUAAAGAGCUCGUAGGCGGUUUGUCGCGUCUGCUGUGAAAUCCCGAGGCUCAACCUCGGGUCUGCAGUGGGUACGGGCAGACUAGAGUGUGGUAGGGGAGAUUGGAAUUCCUGGUGUAGCGGUGGAAUGCGCAGAUAUCAGGAGGAACACCGAUGGCGAAGGCAGAUCUCUGGGCCAUUACUGACGCUGAGGAGCGAAAGCAUGGGGAGCGAACAGGAUUAGA
rnacentral:rRNA from 1 species